UACGGAGGGUGCAAGCGUUGUCCGGAAUCACUGGGCGUAAAGGGCGCGUAGGCGGCUCAUGAAGGCUGUGGUGAAAGUCCGGGGCUCAACCUCGGAUCGGCCGUGGCGACUCGUGGGCUGGAGCACUGUAGAGGCGGGUGGAAUUCCGGGUGUAGCGGUGGAAUGCGUAGAGAUCCGGAAGAACACCAGUGGCGAAGGCGGCCCGCUGGGCAGUGGCUGACGCUGAGGCGCGACAGCGUGGGGAGCAAACAUG
rnacentral:rRNA from 1 species